rnacentral:lncRNA from 1 species
CAGUUAUAGUCUUUUGUCUUAAGACUGAGCCGCAUGCUCUUAUUUGCCAUUCUCUAACGCCAUUCUUCAUACAUGCACCACCAACCCAUAUUCUCGGUCCAUUAGAGGAUGACAUAAGUUUCUUUUAGAGGCAGCACUGGACAAUGUUUUCAGUUAUAGUCCUUGUCUUAGGACUUUCUCAAACUGUACCAUUCAAAUAACUGAAAACAGAAAAGUCUUUGGUCUUUAAGACUUGUAAGCCGUGGGUAAUAAAUCUUUGUCUUUGUCUAAGACAUGUGUAAGCCGUGAGUAAUAAAUCUUUGUAAACCGUGGGUAAGGAAUCUGUUUUCAUUUAUAGUCUUUUGUCUUAAGACUGAGCCGCAUGCUCUUAUUUUCCAUCCCCUAACGCCCUUCUUUAAACAUGCACCACAAACCCAUAUUCUCGGUCUAUUAGGGGAUGGCAUAAGUUUCGUUUAGAGGCAGCAAGGGACAAUAUUUUCAGUUAUAGUCCUUGUCUUAGGACUUUCUCAAACUGUACCAUUCAAAUAACUGAAAACAGAAAAGUCUUUGGUAGUUAAGACUUGUAAGCCGUGGGUAAGAAAUCUGUUUUCAGUUAUAGUCUUUUGUCUUAAGACUUAGCCGCAUGCUCUUAUUUUCCAUCCUCUAACGCCUUUCUUUAUACAUGCACCACCAACCCAUAUUCUCGGUCCAUUAGGGGAUGACAUAAGUUUCUUUUAGAGGCAGCAAGGGACAAUGUUUUCAGUU